AACAGUAGGUCUUUUAACUGACCCCAAAACUUAUUAGCACAGUUCUACAAAUGGAGAUCUCAAAGACAUAUAUUGGGACUUUUACACAGGUGAGUACCAUGGGAAAAUAAGAAUUAGACAAGUUUCCAUUUUAUCCAUACUAAUUCUGCUUUCUUGCAUGAGGUUAAACAGGAGCAGAUUUACAGAGCUGCCAAAAGAGAACAUGUAGAAUUAAUACAGUGCCAGUAAAGGAAAAUGUUAAGGGAACAAAGCUUUUCUUUGUAAGCUUUACUGUAUUAAAAGCAUGGUCUGUAACACCUGUAUUAAAAGAGCAUGGAUAUGUAGAGCCUCAGGGCUCACAAUAAAAGGAAAAAUGGUCUGGAAAGCAAUGAAUGGUUUCAGGUUAAAGGGGUGUUCAGUGCUCCAGCAAAGAAGCAGAAGGAUGAAUCAUUUUAGCUGAUCUCCAGGAGAUAAUAUUUAGAUGGAGUUUAAUCCACAGAACUGCUGUCCUACCGCUCAAAAUGAGGACAAGAUCACUGACUGGCAAGGCAGCACUCAAAUUAUUGAACAGGAAUAACGAUACUUCUUGCCCUGUAAGCCAGGGAGCGAGAGUGCCCCGGAGUCCCAGGCCCUUUGCAGUGGUGGCAGUGGCUGGGGUCCCCCUGUAAGCAGGGCAGCCGACUCUUUGGCCGCUGCUUUUUGUGUGCCCAGCUCCAUUUGCCCAGUCUGCCCGCCUCUGUGAUCCCCCGCAGCACCGGCUGGAAGCGCGCCGUGUGCCAGUGAGGAGCUGCUGCAGAAGAAAGAAGAAGGAGCGGCGUGGGGACGACGCGGGAGGCAGGAGCGAG